UGAUGUGAAAGUUAGAGAGUGAAUAUGAGACAAGGUUGUUACUCAUGUAGGUUAAGGCAAGAUUCAAUUGAGGACUGGUUUGUUAGGUGCAAUUUUUUUAUUCUUUUGUGAAUGUGAUACAGUGUGAUGUUUGUUUGUGUUGCAUUCUGCGAUUUGAUUAAUAACACUAUUAUCAUGUAGUUUUAUCUGUACACUUAUUAUCAUGUAGUUUUAUCUGUACACUGUUUCUGAAUUUUCUUCCAUGAUAAAUUGAGGUUUAAUUUAUUUGGAGGUUUGUAUUUUUGCACUUUUGCGUUACUUAGGAUUUUGUAUUUUGAAGUUGAUCAAUUUGAU
rnacentral:lncRNA from 1 species